GCCAAGGUAGCUCAGUUGGUAGAGCACGGGACUGAAAAUCCCGGUGUCCCCGGUUCGAUUCCGGGCCUUGGCACCA
rnacentral:tRNA from 1 species